GCCUCUGUAGCUCAGUUGGUUAGAGCGCUGCACCGGAAUCGCACGGCCGUAGGUUCAAUUCCUACCAGAGGAC